rnacentral:tRNA from 1 species
GGGAAUGUGGCUCAGUGGUAAAGUGCUUGUCUAGCAUGCAUGGGGCCCUGGGUUUGAUCCCUAGUACUGCCA